GACGAACGCUGGCGGUGUGCUUAACACAUGCAAGUCGAACGGUAAGGCCCUUUCUUUGUUCCACGAGUGGCUAACGGGUGAGUAACACGUACGUAACCUGCCCUCAUCUCUGGGAUAACAGUCGGAAACGGUUUCUAAUACUUGCUAUGAGCUUGCUAGUCAUCCUUUGGGUUGGAUAGAUUUUUUCGGUUGGGGUUGGACUCGUGGCCUAUCAUCUUGUUGGUGAGGUAGUGGGUCACCAAGGCUUCGACGGGUAGCCGGCCUGAGAGGGCGAGCGGCCACAUUGGGACUGAGGUAAGGCCCCAGCUCCUAAGGGAGGCAACAGGGGGGAAUAAUGCACAAUGGACGGAAGGCUGAUGCAGCAACGCCGCGUGCGGGAUGACGGCCUUCGGGUUGUAAAACGCUUUCAAUUGUGACGAAGCUUUUUGUGACGGUAGCAGUAGAAGAAGCACCGGCUAACUACGUG
rnacentral:rRNA from 1 species